rnacentral:misc_RNA from 1 species
GAUGAAGAACGCAGCGAAAUGCGAUAUGUAAUGUGAAUUGCAGAAUUCAGUGAAUCAUCGAAUCUUUGAACGCACAUUGCGCCCGCCAGUAUUCUGGCGGGCAUGCCUGUUCGAGCGUCAUUUCAACCAUCAAGCCCCCCCGGCUUGUGUUGGGGACCUGCGGCUGCCGCAGGCCCUGAAAAGCAGUGGCGGGCUCGCUGUCACACCGAGCGUAGUAGAUCUCAUCUCGCUCAGGGCGUGCUGCGGGUUCCGGCCGUUAAACCACCUUCAUAACCCAAGGUUGACCUCGGAUCAGGUAGGAAGACCCGCUGAACUUAAGCAUAUCAAUAAGCGGAGGA